rnacentral:lncRNA from 1 species
AGGAAGGGGGCUCCGCCGGUUGAUUAGAGAAGAAAAUCAAAAUCAAGAAAAAGGGGGUUUCGGGGUCUGGCGCUGGUUGAGGAAGAAGAGGAAAAAUCAAAAGGUGGGGGUUGUUUGGCAGGGGGUUGUCACUGGUUCAGGGAGGAAAAAAAUUCAAAACGGGCGGCUGUGCUUGGGAUUUUUAGGGUUUAUGUUUUUUUGUAUUUUCUAAUGUUUCCAAAA